AUGGCAUUCAUGAAGUACGACUUUCCGCUGCUGGAUCGUGACACAAGAUUUACCCUAUGGCAAGUCAAGAUGCGGGCGUUGUUGGCACAAGCCGACUAUGAUGUAGCACUGAAUAAUUUUGGAAAGAACCGAAUUCAAGAUUGGACUGAUGAGGAGAAAAGAAUUGAUUGUAAGGCUUUGUCACAAAUUCAACUCCAUUUGCAUAAUAAUAUUUUGCAGGAAGUUUUGAGCCAGAAAACUGCCGCCGCUCUAUGGUUAAAGCUAGAAGGAAUUUGCAUGACUAAAGAUCUCACCAGCAAGAUGCAUCUGAAGCAAAAAAUAUUCCUGCACAGGUUACCCGAGGGAGGUAAUAUUUUGAAUCAUAUUUCAGAAUUUAAAGAGAUCAUAUCUGAUCUAGCUGCAAUGGAGGUUAAGUAUGAAGAGGAAGAUACUGCUUUAAUGUUACUUUGUUCACUGCCAAGUUCUUAUACCAAUUUCAGAGACACCAUAUUAUAUAGUCGUGAUACUCUCACGCUUAAUGAAGUUUAUGAAGCUUUGAAUUCCAAGGAGAAGAUGAAAUUAAUGGUGCCUCAUGAUGGUUCAAGUUCAUCCCAAGCCGAGGGAUUAUCUGUUCGUGGCAGGAUAAAGAAGAAGAACUAA
rnacentral:rRNA from 1 species